rnacentral:rRNA from 1 species
AUUGAACGCUGGCGGCAGGCCUAACACAUGCAAGUCGAACGGUAACAGGAAGAAGCUUGCUUCUUUGCUGACGAGUGUCGGACGGGUGAGUAAUGUCUGGGAAACUGCCUGAUGGAGUGGGAUAACUACUGGAAACGGUAGCUAAUACCGCAUAACGUCGCAAGACCAAAGAGGGGGACCUUCGGGCCUCUUGCCAUCGGAUGUGCCCAGAUGGGAUUAGCUAGUAGGUGGGGUAACGGCUCACCUAGGCGACGAUCCCUAGCUGGUCUGAGAGGAUGACCAGCCACACUGGAACUGAGACACGGUCCAGACUCCUACGGGAGGCAGCAGUGGGGAAUAUUGCACAAUGGGCGCAAGCCUGAUGCAGCCAUGCCGCGUGUAUGAAGAAGGCCUUCGGGUUGUAAAGUACUUUCAGCGGGGAGGAAGGGAGUAAAGUUAAUACCUUUGCUCAUUGACGUUACCCGCAGAAGAAGCACCGGCUAACUCCGUG